UCCCAGUGGCAGGGCAAUUCACGUGAGCAACUCCAUGUUCUCCCAGUAAAAGCAGGGACGGAUCUACUUAACGAUUAUUUUCCUAUGAGCAAAACCGUGGAGGCCACCAUCCUAAUUCAGAAGGACUGGCCUUUCUAUCACUGGAACACGGGUCCAAACUGAAUGUCUCUCGCUUCUGGAUCAAAAAAGCCAGCUCUCACUAACAGGUUCAGAGGCAGAAGGAAAUCGGCUGUGAGUCUCAGAUGAGAUUUCGGACUUUGAGUUGAUGCUAGAACAAGCGUUUUGGAGACUAUUGGGAAGGGAUGAUUGUAUUUUGCAAUGUGAGAAGGACAUGAGAUUGGAGGGGCCAGAGACAGAAUGACAUGGUUUGGAUGAUGGCCCCUCCAAAUCUCAUGUUGAAAUGUGAUCCUCAUUGCUGGAAAUGGAACCUGGUAGGAAGUACUAGAUCAUGGAGGUGGAUCCUUCAUGAAUGGCUUAGUGCCAUACCCUUACUGAAGAGUGAGUUCUCAUAUGGUUUAUGCAAGAUCUGGUUGUUUAAGGGAGUCUGGGACCUCCCCCUUCUCACUCUUGCUCAUGCUCUUGCCAUAUGACACGCCUGCUCUCCCUUCACCUUCUGCCAUCAUUGGAAGCUUCCUGAAGCCUCACCAGAAGCCAGGCAGAUGCUAGCACCACACUUCCUGUAUGGCCUGCAGAACCGUGAGCCAAUUAAACCUCAUUUCCUUAUAAAUUACCCAGUCUCGGGUGUUCUUUUAUAGCAAUACAAAAACAGAGUAACACAGGAUCACUGAAUGAUCUUUGAUUAUUCCUCUUACCUUUGCCAGGCUUCAAUAUCCAGUCACUAACUCAACAAAUCAUGUUUCUUCUCUCUGCACAAUAUUUCUCCCAUCUGCCUCUUUUUUUUUGGCUUCCUCAACCAAUAUCCUAGUUCAGGCUCUUAUUACCCAACACCUAAACAUAUCUAUAAGCUCUUAACUGGCCUCCCAUACACAUCAA
rnacentral:lncRNA from 1 species